AGGCCUAGAGCAGUGGUGGCCAAACUUGGCCCUCCAGCUGCUUUUGGACUACAACUUCCAUCAUCCCUAGCUAACAGGACAAGUGGUCAGGGAUGACGGGAAUUGGAGUCCCAAAACAGCUGGAGGGCCAAGUUUGGCCAACACUGGCCUAGAGGCUGC